rnacentral:rRNA from 1 species
AGUACUGAUCCAGCCACCCCGCGUGUGCGAUGAAGGCCUUCGGGUUGUAAAGCACUUUUGGCAGGAAAGAAACGUCAUGGGCUAAUACCCCGUGAAACUGACGGUACCUGCAGAAUAAGCACCGGCUAACUACGUGCCAGCAGCCGCGGUAAUACGUAGGGUGCAAGCGUUAAUCGGAAUUACUGGGCGUAAAGCGUGCGCAGGCGGUUCGGAAAGAAAGAUGUGAAAUCCCAGAGCUUAACUUUGGAACUGCAUUUUUAACUACCGAGCUAGAGUGUGUCAGAGGGAGGUGGAAUUCCGCGUGUAGCAGUGAAAUGCGUAGAUAUGCGGAGGAACACCGAUGGCGAAGGCAGCCUCCUGGGAUAACACUGACGCUCAUGCACGAAAGCGUGGGGAGCAAACAGGAUUAGAUACCCUGGUAGUCCACGCCCUAAACGAUGUCAACUAGCUGUUGGGGCCUUCGGGCCUUGGUAGCGCAGCUAACGCGUGAAGUUGACCGCCUGGGGAGUACGGUCGCAAGAUUAAAACUCAAAGGAAUUGACGGGGACCCGCACAAGCGGUGGAUGAUGUGGAUUAAUUCGAUGCAACGCGAAAAACCUUACCUACCCUUGACAUGUCUGGAAUUCCGAAGAGAUUUGGAAGUGCUCGCAAGAGAACUGAACACAGUCGUACUU